UACUGAGCGUUGAUAGGAGCACUAGUAGAAAAAAUUUCCCUGUAACAGAGAGCUGACGGUUGCUGCGAGUCAGAACACAAAUUUUUUCGAAGUACAUUCCUUGAGCAUCUUUUCCGAGUAGGAAAAGACGGCCUGGCCGUUAUUUUAAUGAAGAGGCAAGCAAAAUGCUUGCAACUAGGGUGGUACCGCGAAUUUUCGUCCCUACU
rnacentral:ncRNA from 2 species